rnacentral:rRNA from 1 species
UACAGAGGGGGCAAGCGUUAUUCGGAAUUAUUGGGCGUAAAGGGCGCGUAGGCGGCCAGGCAAGUGGAAGGUGAAAUCCCUCGGCUUAACCGAGGAACUGCCCUCCAAACUGCUUGGCUUGGGACCGGGAGAGGUGAGUGGAAUUCCCAGUGUAGCGGUGAAAUGCGUAGAUAUUGGGAGGAACACCAGUGGCGAAGGCGGCUCACUGGACCGGUACUGACGCUGAUGCGCGAAAGCGUGGGGAGCAAACGGG